CAAGAACGAGUCAUCUCGAUGGCAAAGUAUUGAAAAGGGCUCUUGUGAUUUUCCUCCUUUUCUUUCUAACUUCCCUCCUAAUUCAAGACUAAGAUGCUGACAUGUCUUGAGUGACAAGAGCUGUCAGUCGUAGGCCCCCA